rfam:Danio rerio chromosome 4, GRCz11 reference primary assembly.
GCCUGGUUAGCUCAGCUGGUUAAAGCGUGGCGCUAAUAACGCCAAGGUCGCGGGUUCAAUCUUCGUACUGGAUA